AUUACUCGUAAAAUUGAUCUGUGAUGAACUCAGGAUCCAGCCAGAACAAAUGUUGGAUUUUGAGCUCUGCCUUGCCGACACACAACCAGCUGCUAUCGGUGGAAUCCUUGAAGAGUUCAUUUUUGCACCUAGACUGGAUAAUCUUCUGAAUGCAUACUGUGCCACUGAGGCUUUGAUUGAGUCAUGCAAGGGAAACAGCCUGAGUCAAGACCCAAACAUCCGCCUCAUCUGUCUGUUUGACAAUGAAGAGGUA